ensembl:lncRNA
CUGGUGACUGAGGAGCUGGUCUUGUCAAAGUGUCUGGGUUUGCUGCUGGCAGAGGGGUCACAACACACAGUUGCUUUGUCUUUCCCUUCUUCACUUCCUGUAGAUGGCUGAACUGCUGCUGUAUCUGUUGAUGCGCUGCUUGUUGCAUUGACUGCUGUUGCUGUGGUUGAUUGAACAUGACACCCUGUAGAUUGGCUCCUGGUGCUCCCAGUGCUGCCAUGUCAUCAGGAGUGUGAAUGUUCUGAACAGGUGUGGUGUCUCUGUCACCCCAUUCACCACCUGUCGCACCAGGUGACUCCUCAUCAUCAGGCCUCUCCACCUCUAUAACCCCACCAGGUGACUCCUCAUCAUCAGGCCUCUCCACCUCUAUAACCCCACCAGGUGACUCCUCAUCAUCAGGCCUCUCCACCUCUAUAACCCCACCAGGUGACUCAUCAUCAGGCUUCUCCAUGACUAGAACCCCACCAGGUGACUCCUCAUCAUCAGGCUUCUCCAUCACUAGAACCCCACCAGGUGACUCCUCAUCAUCAGGCUUCUCCAUCACUAGAACCCCACCAGGUGACUCCUCAUCAUCAGGCUUCUCCAUCACUAGAACCCCACCGGGAGGGGAAUCCCACCACCUAAAGUUGGACGGGCUGCAGCAGUCUUCUAAAGUCUGACAGGGGAAACAUAAUAUAGUUUUUACAGUUUCUCAAAGUAAGGUAAAAAAAACAUUGUUAGUGGUUUACCCUCACAAAAAAUAAAAUGAGUGGAUGAUCAACCAACACUAAGAACAGAUCUCAUAUUAGUCACAUGUUGUUCUCCUUACGCUGGCUGUCAGUGGUAUUGUUUUAUA